rnacentral:misc_RNA from 1 species
CAACCCUUAAGCCUAGCUUAGUAUUGGGAACUGGCUUUACUGCCAUUCCUCAAAUUCAACGGCGGAUUUAUAGCAAUCUCUGAACGUAGUAAUUUUUUUCUCGUUUUUGAAAUACUGUAAACCUCAGCCGCUAAACCCCCCAAUUUCUUAU